rnacentral:rRNA from 1 species
GUGAACGCUGGCGGUAGGCCUAACACAUGCAAGUCGCACGGCAGCGCAGUAAGAGCUUGCUCUUACGGGUGGCGAGUGGCGGACGGGUGAGGAAUACAUCGGAAUCUACUUUUUCGUGGGGGAUAACGUAGGGAAACUUACGCUAAUACCGCAUACGACCUACGGGUGAAAGCAGGGGAUCUUCGGACCUUGCGCGAUUGAAUGAGCCGAUGUCGGAUUAGCUAGUUGGCGGGGUAAAGGCCCACCAAGGCGACGAUCCGUAGCUGGUCUGAGAGGAUGAUCGGCAAAACGGAAACUAGGAAAGGGCCCAAACUCCAAGGGGAGGCAGAAGUGGGGAAUAUGGGAAAAGGGGGGAAGGCCUAAUCAGGCAAUACCGCGUGGGGAAAGAAGGCCUCGGGUUGUAAAGCCCUUUUGUUGGGAAAGAAAAGCAGCAGGUUAAUAACCCGCUGUUCUGACGGUACCCAAAGAAUAAGCACCGGCUAACUUCGUG